UACGAAGGGGGCGAGCGUUGUUCGGAUUUACUGGGCGUAAAGGGCGCGCAGGCGGUUCUGUUUGUCGAGUGUGAAAGCCCCGGGCUCAACCUGGGAACUGCGCUCGAAACGGCGGAACUAGAGUUCGGGAGAGGAGAGUGGAAUUCCCAGUGUAGAGGUGAAAUUCGUAGAUAUUGGGAAGAACACCGGUGGCGAAGGCGGCUC
rnacentral:rRNA from 1 species